rfam:Gossypium raimondii Chr01_contig_239, whole genome shotgun sequence.
UGUUAAAAGUUUCAUCCAUUUGUACUGUUAAAAACUGUGAUACAUGACGUGUCAUGUGUACUCGUGCUGACGUACAAUGUCCAGUUUUUAACAUUAGAAAUGGAUGAAAUUUUUAAUA